rnacentral:rRNA from 1 species
GAUGAACGCUGGCGGCGUGCUUAACACAUGCAAGUCGAACGGAAAGGCCCAAGCUUGCUUGGGUACUCGAGUGGCGAACGGGCGAGUAACACGUGGGUGAUCUGCCCUGCACUUCGGGAUAAGCCUGGGAAACUGGGUCUAAUACCGGAUAGGACCACAUUUUGGAUGGUGUGGUGGAAAGUUUUUCGGUGUGGGAUGAGCUCGCGGCCUAUCAGCUUGUUGGUGGGGUAAUGGCCUACCAAGGCGUCGACGGGUAGCCGGCCUGAGAGGGUGUACGGCCACAUUGGGACUGAGAUACGGCCCAGACUCCUACGGGAGGCAGCAGUGGGGAAUAUCGCACAAUGGGCGCAAGCCUGAUGCAGCGACGCCGCGUGGGGGAUGACGGCCUUCGGGUUGUAAACUCCUUUCGCUAGGGACGAAGCGCAAGUGACGGUACCUGGAGAAGAAGCACCGGCUAACUACGUG